UGCCACUUAUUGGGACUUUGGUGAUUUUAGCUGUAUGUUGAAUGCAUUCCUAACCACAUAUAGCUUUAUCACCAAAAACCUAAUGUGUGUGUA
rnacentral:pre_miRNA from 2 species